UACGUAGGAGGCGAGCGUUGUCCGGAAUUACUGGGCGUAAAGAGCGCGUAGGCGGCACGGUACGACCGGUGUGAAAGUCCCCGGCUCAACUGGGGAGGGUCACCGGUAACGGCCGAGCUACGAGUGCAGGAGAGGGAAGUGGAACUCCGGGAGUAGCGGUAAAUGCGUAGAGACCCGGAGGAACACCAGUGGCGAAGGCGGCUUCCUGGUCUGCAACUGACGCUGUGGCGCGAAAGCUAGGGGAGCAAACGGGG
rnacentral:rRNA from 1 species